UUUGCCUAAAAUUGCUGUAAGCAGUGAAAGAUAUGCCAAGUGGAGAAUGAGGACACAUCCUAGCCCUACUCCAGGCCAGUGGCUGGCCCCUGGAUCACCACACUCAGUCUGAAUGGGGUAAAUAACCAACAUGUUUGCCUGUGGCUAAGAAGUUUCCUGGAAUGUGAGACUUUCAGUGCUCAAACUGGGAAAGUCCUGCCAUGCCUACCUCCACAGAGUUAUUUGGGCAGGAGAAGAACUCCUUCCAGGCUAGAAUAACACAAGAUGUAUAAUACUGCAGUGACCAUUACUAUACACACACAUGGGCAUACCUUUGUGACUGGAUCUGUAGGACAAAUUCAUAGCUGAGAAAUUUCUGACUCAAAGGCUUGCAUAUUU